rnacentral:lncRNA from 1 species
CAAAUCUACAACGUUUUUUUCUUAAAAUCGUUGUGUAAUGUACUUAACUAUAACGUUUUAAAAACGUUGUGUAAGGGUGUCAAAUAGAUAACACCCUUAACCACGACGUUUUUCUGACUGAAACUACAACGUUUUUUCCGCGUUAUCUAUUUAUUGUUUUGUAGUAGUGUAAAAAUAAAGUUAUUCCUAAGGACCUCUGGGUAGCAUAUAUAUAUAUAUAUGCACUGAGAAAACACUACAAAGCAUUAUAGUUCAAGCAACUUAAUCAUUGGAAAAUAAUACCACAAUUAUGCAUCAACAAUUAACGAAAAUUAAAUAUAAAACUGAGAUAAAUUAUUCAAGAUUUUCAUGCCAGAUGAGUAAGGAGAACACACUACCCUUUGUCCAAAAAUGAAUCUUUUUUACAUUUUUUCUGUCCCACGAUUAGAGUCUAAUUCGCAGUUAACUAAAAAUUGACGUAUCAAUCUCAAUAUUGUUAUUUUAAAAGUGAAAAUAACAACUGUUCUUAAAAUAUAUUCAUAGACUAAAUAAAAGAAGAAACUAAAACAAACAAAUUCACAUUUACUUGAGCAAAUGUUACUAAUUGGUCAAAUGUCAACCAAAACCCAACAUUCAAAUUAACAACCCAGAAGAGAAAAAUGAACAAAUCCUAGAUAACAAAUUCGACCCAUCAUGCUAAUUAAAAAAAAAUAAAAAAUCGACCCAUCGACAGCUGAAUUAAAUUGCAUACAUACAUCGAGUUCAAGUAGAAUCCACUCCUUAGUAUUUGUGCCAGUAGACCAAUGACUCCGAAGAUCUGUCUAGAAUAUGUGCGCCCUUUUUGAGAAGGUGAUUCUCGAGACAUACCCUUCUUUUUGUAAGGCAAAUAUUUCACCCUUGGCUCCAGCUCUACCUCCAUUUCCUCUUUUUUUUUUUCUCUCUACAAUCUCUCUCUAUAUAUAUGUAUAGAUAUAAAUAGUGUGUAUGUAGAAGGGUUCAGGUGUUGGAUUGAAUAUUCCAACUGGUUCCAUCUUGCAUAGCUCCUAAUCUAGUUGAUGAGGAUCUGCAGAUUUGUGACUUCUAGGUUUGUGAUAACGGAGCUUUAAGAUAUCUGAAACUUGAAACCAAAGGAUGGAAAGAAUCGGAAAUCCGGAAAAGGAAUCGACUGAAAGUGGAAGAAGAGGAAGAGGUGAGAAGUAAACCGAAGAUGAAGCAGAGGAAAAUAAAUUGGAAAGGAAUCGAAUGAGGAUUAAUUGAGGAGAUGGAAGAGAAGGAAGGGGAAGAGGCGAUAUGAGAGGAGAAAUAAUCGAGUUAACUCUUAAUUAAUUAAGAGUUGACUUAGUGAAUUUUUCAAUUGAUAGCUGAGUUUUCUAAUUAAUUAAAA